rnacentral:lncRNA from 10 species
AAAGAUCAGGGCAGAAAUAAGUCCUGUCCCUGGUCCUGUAAGAGCAGCUGGAAGCCACGCAAGAGCACCAUGACAUUCGUUCAAGCCCCUCUUUCAGUCCUGGCACGGAAAUCGCGACUGGAAUCUGCUUCUAAGCCUCCCACCACAUGACCCUGCCGGAGGGGAGCGCUCCAUCUUUCAAUACCCUCGUUAUUUCCUGCAGCUGUGGAAGUCAGAAACGGAACGCACAUUUUAGUACAAGUGGUUUAUUUCUCUUCCAGGUGAGGCCGCAUGUAUAUAAGCAAAGGUUUGCCCACCUGGUUCCUUCAGGAACUCCCCGAGGAAUCUGUUUAGUUUCCAUGCAUUAAAAACAACCCUCUAGUUGCCAAUAAUGAAACUUUAAGAAGCAACACUUUGACGUCGCAGAGUUCCUCUCUGCAUGUGACGCGGAUAUACCAAAGUGAGUUUAUGGCAUACAGUAUGCAUGGGUUAAUGUAGGUGAGACAGGGAGUCCCGGCUGCCCUGUGGCCCCAUUCUGUUGUGGAGGCUUCGCUGGGAGCUGAGAACACCCUGCUGUCCAUGUUUUGAUGACAGGUGGUUCUUCCAAAACAGAAGCACCGAGUCACCGCACGCCCCUGCUUCAGUGUGCGAGGCCGUGGGGCUCUGGUGUUGUGAACUCCAGGCUGGCAUUUAAAAGGUGCUGACUUUUAGGCUGGGCGUGGUGGCUCAUGCCUGUAACCCCAGCACUUUGGGAGGCCAAGGCAGGUGCAUCACUUGAGGCCAGGAGUUAGAGACUAGCCUGGCCUGCAUGGCGAAACCCCGUCUCUACUGAAAAUGCAAAGAUUAGCUGGGUGUGAUGGCACGUGCCUAUAGUCCCAAGUACUUGGGAGGCUGAGGCAUGAGAAUUGCUUGAACUCAGGAGGUGGAGGAUGCAGUGAGCUGAGAUUGCACCACGUACUCCAGCCUAGGUCACAGAGUGAUACUCUGUCUCAAAAAAAUAAACAUAAAUAAUAAAUGGUGCU